rnacentral:tRNA from 1 species
GUGAACAGGUGUUUCCCGCCCUUGCACGGCGGAGGUCAGGGGUUCGAUCCCCCUCGGCUCCA